rnacentral:rRNA from 1 species
AUUGCCCUAGUAACGGCGAGUGAAGCGGCAACAGCUCAAAUUUGAAAUCUGGCCCUCGGGUCCGAGUUGUAAUUUGUAGAGGAUGAUUUUGGUUAGGUACCUUCCGAGUUCCUUGGAACAGGACGCCUUAGAGGGUGAGAGCCCCGUACGGUUGGAUGCCGAGCCUCUGUAAAUCUCCUUCGACGAGUCGAGUAGUUUGGGAAUGCUGCUCUAAAUGGGAGGUAAAUUUCUUCUAAAGCUAAAUACCGGCCAGAGACCGAUAGCGCACAAGUAGAGUGAUCGAAAGAUGAAAAGCACUUUGAAAAGAGGGUUAAAUAGUACGUGAAAUUGUUGAAAGGGAAGGGCUUGUGACCAGACCUUUGCCUUGCGGAUCAUCCGGUGUUCUCACCGGUGCACUCCGCUUGGUUGAGGCCAGCAUCAGUUUCGGCGGCGGGAUAAAGACUUCAGGAACGUGACUCCCCCGGGAGUGUUAUAGCCUGCUGUGUAAUACCGCCGCUGGGACUGAGGACCGCGCUUCGGCUAGGAUGCUGGCAUAAUGGUCAUCAGCCACCCGUCUUGAAACACGGACCAAGGAGUCGAACAUUUAUGCGAGUUUUUGGGUGUUAAACCCUCAAGCGUAAUGAAAGUGAACGGAGGUGAGAGCCCUUACGGGUGCAUCAUCGACCGAUCCUGAUGUCUUCGGAUGGAUUUGAGUAAGAGCAUAACUGUUCGGACCCGAAAGAUGGUGAACUAUGCGUGGAUAGGGUGAAGCCAGAGGAAACUCUGGUGGAGGCUCGCAGCGGUUCUGACGUGCAAAUCGAUCGUCAAAUCUGCGCAU